GUAUUGGUGGUUCGGUGGUGGAAUUCUUGGCUGCCCCUCGGGAAGCCCGGGUUCGAUUCCCAGCCAGUGCA
rnacentral:tRNA from 1 species